rnacentral:rRNA from 1 species
CCGGCGACCGGCGGACGGGUGCGUAACGCGUAUGUAACCUACCUUUGACAGGGGGAUAACAUCGAGAAAUUGGUACUAAUACCCCAUAACAUCACCGGAGGCAUCUUCGGUGGUUGAAAACUCAGGUGGUCAGAGAUGGACAUGCGUUGUAUUAGCUAGUUGGUGAGGUAACGGCUCGCCAAGGCGACGAUACAUAGGGGGACUGAGAGGUCAACCCCCACAUUGGUACUGAGACACGGACCAAACUCCUACGGAAGGCAGCAG